ensembl:lncRNA
GUUUAACGUUGUGUUUUAAAUGCAGCAAAACUGCACCGGAGAUGCAAAGUCACAGAGCGGGCUCGGAGGGAAGAUCAGGGGGAUUAUUUCUGUUACAUCCAAGCAAAGGGUGGACUGCCACAGAGCGGAACACCAGCUGCUGCGAGGCUGAAGGUCAGUGAGAGAAGCCCGGAUCAGACCACCAGCACUCCUCCCCCUACAUCGGUGUCUCCGACACAGACGACUUCAGAAGUAAACGGACUGGGAACUCUGGCCGCUGUCUGCAUCACAGCUGUGGUCUUUUUGGUUUUCGGCCUUGUGUGUGGAUGGUUCCUGAAAUCUCACUGCUCCACGUACUUGUCACGUCUUCUCCGACGCUUUGGACCCGGAGAUGAACGACAUGAUGUAGAUGGGGCGUCGGAGCCUUUGAGCCAUCCUCCUCCUCUGCAGAUGAAUGGCCACCAUCCAUCAAAUACGUCCCAGGCAGACGUCUGAAGACUUUUAGGAUCAAUAAGUGACAACUUUUAACUUAUUAAUGCGCUUCAGCUUAUUUAUGUGUGCAGCUUAUAAUUAUAAUUAUGCAUUUUAACACCGAUCAAAGCUUUCGUUUACUGUCUUAAUUUCUUUUUUUUUCUUUUUUAUGUAACAUCUUGCUUCAGCUGUGUGUGAUUAAAUAAACAGUGUCUUU